rnacentral:tRNA from 1 species
GGUCGCAUGCCCGAGUGGCCAGGGAGCCGCCUGCAAAGCGGCGUACGCCGGUUCGAGUCCGGCUGCGGCUU